GCCAUACUAAUUUGCUUGAAGUUGGGAAAAAAGGACAAAUGCAAUCCAACCACAUCCCACAACCAUGCCUUGUACUGUCCAGCAAACUUUGAGCAUGAUUUUCUGUCAUGGCUAGUCCCUAGUAGCAGAAGAAAAACCACAUUUGACAGCAGAAGAAAGCAUGGCUCACUCUCUAAAAUAUCUGACCUUGCUGUUGCAUUUCAAGGGGGCUGUCAAAAAACUCAUAAUGAAUUGAGUUUGGCUUGGCUUAACACAGACAUUUUUUCAUCAUUUUGAAAGAGCUAGCCAACAUAACCAACGGCACACAGCACUCUCUCAAACCUCACCUUGCUGUUUUGCAUUCCAAAUUUUUCUGUCAAAAGCACAAAGGGACCAAACCCUACCUUACCACAUAGAAAUGUCCAACAGCAUGGCCUAGCUUGAGAACAUCAAACCUCACUUGCUGUCAUGAAAGAGCAGCAGCAGACCAACCAAAACCCCUCUCACUUGCAUUUUCCAAAACUCACCAUGAACCAAACCUGAACCUGGCACUGUGAUUUCAAACCUUGCUAGCACCAUCUAACACAGCCAAAAAGCCUUGGUGCCCUCUCUCUCAAAAGAUCACAUUUUGGCCAAGAUCAUUUUCUGUCCAAAAAUCCCCAAAGGAACAAAUGCCUGGCCCUGCUCAACACAACAUCUCCUCACCAUUUUCUAUCAAAGGAGACCCUAAACUAGCAGCAAAAAACACAUAGCAACACAAAAAUCCCUCAUUCUAAAAAAACUGUAUUUUUCACAUUUACCAAACCUGUCAAAGAACUUCAGAAGACUGAACCUGGCAUUGGCUAUUUCACUAUCCAUUCCUCAUUUUGGAGAGCCUCUAACACAUGACAAACCAAUAGAACUCUCCUUCUAAAAAUCUCAUUUUGCUUGCCUCUUCAAAAAACCAGUCAAAGCCUCCAAGGAACAGAACUUUGCCUUGCCAAAAAACAACAUUCACACAGCAUUUGGAAGUGGUUUUCACUAGCAUUCUCCAACUGGAAGUCCCAUUUCCAGUACUGUUUUCAAGAGAGCAUAGCUAUGGCAGAUUUGAAUGGAGGCCAUUCCAAGCACCCUUGAGCAAAGUUCUUCAACUAAUCAACAUUUGAAAAGCUUUGUUUCAUCUGUUUUGAGUCAGCGACAUCAUUAAGCAUCUGUACCACUACUGUUCUCCCAAAUUGGUAAAUUUUCAACCUCCC
rnacentral:lncRNA from 1 species